GCCUGGUGCCCCGCCGCCGGCUCUGGCCCCGCUUCCUCCUUUUAGCUCCCCACACUCUCCGCCGCCCCCGCCCCCCUCCUCUAGAGACUUAGGGCCGAGCGGACCCACCCCCGACGCCUAGAGUGAAGCCCGGGUCCCCGCGGAGCCCGAACUCCCGGCUUGGCGUCUCUUCUCUCUGCCGCCGCUGCGCUGCCCCGGAGCCCGAGGGGAGGGCGGCGCGACCCUCGACCUCGCCCGCGGCCGCACCGCCGCCGCACUCGGGCUGGACCCCGCCAGCCGAAGCCCAGUCCGCCCUCGGGGCCCCGCGCCUGGUAGCUAUAGAUUCCACUGCCUCCAACAGGGACCCCGGUAACAGCUGUUCCCUGCGCUAUAUCCACCCCUGCCAGCCCAGCGAGUACCUGAAGGCCUUGGUGGCCGUGGGGGAGAUUUGCCAGAACUAUGACAGCCUCCAGGAUGGACAGGAUUCUCCCAAGGUCACACAUGAGUCAG